rnacentral:tmRNA from 1 species
UGUAAUAAUGAAAAUGUUCAUUUAUUGAUGAACUAGGUGAUUCAAACCAGUAUCUAGGACAGCGGUUCGAUUCCGCUCAGCUCCAUAAUUAUGGGGCUGCAAUGGCUUCGACUGGAUACAAGGAGUAUGACUGAAGCCUGCUCGGUUAGGGCAAAACCAUAACUGCUAACAAAAUCGUUAGUUUCUCACGUCAAACAGCCCCUGUUGCUGCUUGAACAACAAGUGAGGUGGGGUGAGAUCAGCCUUAUUAACCAAGUGAUCCAUGGAGCCUGGAAGGGCU